GACUAGACAGGAGCUGACCCCCUCUCCAGAAGCCUAUGGCGCAAGAGACAACUGAGCUGGAAGUCUGUGUCAGUGCCUCUGGAAUAGAAAGUGAAGAAAGACAAUUUCAGACGUUUAAAGGCUGAAACAGUCAGUCAGAGACAGGCUUUCACUGUAAGAUAUGUUUUCUUAAAAAAAAUCCUUCAAGCAGAAGAAAAUUGACAGCUGAUAGAAAUCUCCAUCCACACAGAGGUCGAGAGAAGCUCAACAAACAGUAAACCUGGUAUUGCUGAUGUCAGAGGCCAACUUGCAGAACAUAGUUCUCUCCUGCUACCAUGUGCUCUCAGGGAUCACCCUGAGGUCUUCAGGCUUGGUGGAAGGAUCUUUACUCUCUUGCUAAGCCCUACUGUGAACCUGGCUCUUGGCAGGUGUUCCUUGAGUAUCGACUGUGAGCAUGGAAAACUGGAGCCUGCCUUUCCUGUCUUUUGGUACAGUAGUGUGUCACACUGGUCCACCAUCUGCCCUGGGUUCUUUCCCUGCUUGUCCUCCACUCCAAGCAUCUGCUAGGUGAUAUCGAAAACUUACCAAGAAACUGCACACUCUCAGAUAGGGUCGCACUCAGGAGUCUAGUCUGUCCUUGAACUUGCAGCAGUCCUCCUGCCUCAGCUCCACUGAGUGCUCAGACUACAGGUAUGUACCACCAUACUUGGCUACUGCUGUCACAGUGCAACAGACAGCCACAUAGGAGAGAUGUUUACCUAGGAUCUAGCCUGUCCUUGGUGCCAAUAAGAGAAGAAGGGUAGGGUAAGGUCCCUUGGGCUGUGAGAAAGUCACCUCCCUGUAUCCUGAGCAGCUUCUAUGAUGGUCUCACACAUGACCUGUCCUUUCUGCUCUCUUGACACGAUGCUGUGGUUAUGUGGAGCCCAGGCCCCAACAGGGUGCACAUUUUCAAAUGAAUAAAACCUCAAAGUGUCAUUAUUGAAACACAGUUAAGAGACAUUUACAUUU